rnacentral:misc_RNA from 1 species
CGCGCGCAUUUGAAUUGAAGUUAUCAACUUCCGCUGACAAAAUAAAACCCGGAAGAAUAAAGUUCCACCAUUUUGCUACAAUACUUUUUACGUGUGCUCGAUAUGAUCAUGUACAUUUAUAGCCUGUGAAAAUUUACUAACAAAUUUUUAAUAAAUAAAUAAAUUCGUCUAACAAUAACGAUUACAAAAAAAUAAUAUUAAUUUUAAUAAAUUUUAUUUAUUUAUAAAUAUUAAAAUAUGGGACGUAAGAAGAAGAAGCAGUCAAGACCCUGGUGCUGGUAUUGCAAUCGUGAGUUCGAUGAUGAAAAAAUUUUAAUUCAACAUCAAAAAGCCAAACAUUUUAAAUGUCAUAUUUGUCACAAAAAAUUAUACACUGGCCCGGGAUUAAGUAUACAUUGUAUGCAGGUACAUAAAGAGGCAAUAGACAAAGUACCAAACUCGAUGCCAAAUCGUAGUAAUAUAGAGAUAGAAAUUUAUGGAAUGGAAGGAAUACCACCAAAUGAUUUAAAAGAACACGAACGCCAGAGAAACGGCGGUAGACCUGGAUCGCCAAGUUCAGGAGAAGAUGAGCCUGCACAAAAAAAAUCUAAACCUGAAGGUUUAUUAGGUUCAGCACCUGGAGCAAUGCCUACGAAUUCAGGGAUGAUGCCGGGUAUGAUGCAAGGUAUGCCAGGACACCACCCGAUGCAUCAAAUGGGACAAUAUCCUCCACCGAUGCAUCAUAUGAUGGGACACAUGGGUCAUGUCGGUCCUCCAUUCAUGCAAGGAAUGAUGCCGGGUAUGCCAGGAAUGCCUCCAGGUAUGCAACCGCCAGUUUCUGGGGCUUCGAUGCCAACGAGGCCGCUUUUCCCCGCUGUAGUUUCAACAGCAACGUCAUCGGUACAUAAUUCUACGCCUAUCGGUACUGAUUUUAAACCAAUAACUUCGGUAGCUGGUGGAUCUAUAGGUCCAAUAAAACCUACGUUCCCGGCUUACAGUAGUGAAUCAACUGUUCCGACGAAUAAUUCAAAUGAUCAGAAGGUUAAUUUAAUAGCGACGACAGGUGCCGCUAGUAAAAUAAUUCACCCGCCCGAAGAUCUCAGUCUCGAGGAAAUACGGGCGAGGUUACCUAAAUACCAACGUCGUCAGAACGACGAAUCAAAUCGUAAUUCUGCGAGCGCAGAAGCGUCACACCAAGCGGCUGUUUUGCAACAGCAGCAGCAACAACAGCAUCAACAGCAUCAACACCACCAACAUCAACAACAGCAAGCAGCACAACAGCAACAGCAAGCAGCGCAGCAACAACAACAAGCAGCUCAGCAGCAACAAGCGGCAGCCGUGAGUGCAGCGGCGGCAUUCCAAGACCAGCAGCAACGUCAGCAAGCUGCUCUGUCUGCCUUACAGCAACAACAGCAACGUUUUCAGAGGCCACCACAAAUGAUGGUACCUGCGACCGCUGCUAUUCCCGUGUCUUCCGUUGCGCUCAUGGCUCCGCUUAUGCGCCCAACGAUGACGCUCGCUGCUCCGGCUCUCAUUCACGGAGGUAACAUGAUGCGACCGCCCCCCAUGGGCCUGCCACCAGGACGCCCAGUCACUCCUUGGUGAGUGUUGAACAACCCUCGUCUGGUUACUAAAUACGUGUUUUAUUCAAGUACAACAAGGUAUGCUCGGGGCAUUGCCCCCAGGUGCGAUGCAUCCAGCAUUCGCGACUCCAAUGGGAUUCCCUGGUGGACCGAUGUUAACACCGAUGAUGCAUCCACGCUUCAGAUGAUCACCUCAAACUAACGGGCC